UGUCAUGUCAAAAUGGCAGAGCUUUCCACAAACCACUCCAGCAAAUAAAGUCUCCUCUCUGAGUGCCUAAUCUUCUCCCGGUAAGCAGAAAGAGAGUGGGGCAUAAACUGCUUUCUUCCACCGCUGCCCCCAGAGGACCCCACAGUCCCACUCACGUGGCCCGUGGAGAGACCGAAACGAGACAAAUGAUACCUUGGCGAUGACUGGAGAAUCUUACGCAGAGAAAUUUAUUACGUUUUGGAAAAGUUCCGGGCAGUGGUUUUUAUCAUUAGAUCCUUUAUGCUCUUCAAGUUGCAUAAGACGCUCUGACUUCUUUUUCUUGUCGAAGCAUAACUUCCAGGUCAGCUUUAGCUGUUCAGGUGGGCAAGCCACAGCUUUUUGCUGUUGGAGGAGGUGAGGCUGACAGAAAGAGAAGAUAACCCUUAUAGUGGAGGACCUGGAAGAGAUCAUCCUCUGGAGUCAGGCAGUGAACGGUACAUGAUUAUAUCUUUUAGACACUUGUCACCUCAGAAUGCCUACCAGUUAUCAGGAACUAUGAACAUAUUCUUCUUGUACUGCUGGGGAAAACUCAGAUCUGUGACAGAAUUCCUUCCAUUGUCUCGAGAGCAAAUGCAGCAACAACUCACAUUUAUUGAGCACUUACUCAUCUAGACGCUUUACCUCAUUUUGUCUUCACCACCUUCUCAGGAAGGUACUACUGCCAGCCCCAUUUUACAGUGAAGCACAUAUGCAGAUCCGGAGACUAGAAUACUCUAACAGCUAUACUGAGACCUAAAGAGAAAAGACCAGGUGAGGAAACAAUGAGAAGACAGUGUCCUGUCCAUAUGACAGCACCCACAUACAAGCAGUAAGAGGACCUUCAUCAGAAAUCAACACUGCUGAGCCCA
rnacentral:lncRNA from 1 species